rnacentral:rRNA from 1 species
AGUGAACGCUAGCGGUAGGCCUAACACAUGCAAGUCGAACGGCAGCACAGUAAGAGCUUGCUCUUACGGGUGGCGAGUGGCGGACGGGUGAGGAAUACAUCGGAAUCUACUUUUUCGUGGGGGAUAACGUAGGGAAACUUACGCUAAUACCGCAUACGACCUACGGGUGAAAGCAGGGGAUCUUCGGACCUUGCGCGAUUGAAUGAGCCGAUGCCGGAUUAGCUAGUUGGCGGGGUAAAGGCCCACCAAGGCGACGAUCCGUAGCUGGUCUGAGAGGAUGAUCAGCCACACUGGAACUGAGACACGGUCCAGACUCCUACGGGAGGCAGCGGUGGGGAAUAUUGGACAAUGGGCGCAAGCCUGAUCCAGCCAUACCGCGUGGGUGAAGAAGGCCUUCGGGUUGUAAAGCCCUUUUGUUGGGAAAGAAAAGCAGCAGGUUAAUACCCCGCUGUUCUGACGGUACCCAAAGAAUAAGCACCGGCUAACUUCGUG